rnacentral:lncRNA from 1 species
GGGAGGGUUGCCGAUGUGCUUGAUGUUAGAGGAAGGGAGGGAUAGGAGGGAAUGGUUGAGAGGAAGGAGUCAAUACAAGGCGAGGUUCAUGGAGCUAGCCUCGGUGACAAGGAGGUGAGGGAAAGAGUGGUGCUAGUAUCAGUGAAGCGAGUGGUGCUAGCUUAAGUAAAGGCGGAGGGGACAUGGUCAAUGAUAAAUGCUGGAGCAAUGAAAAUAGAGAGAGAGGUAGUACAGGCCGUUGCCAGAAAGAGGGA